rnacentral:rRNA from 1 species
ACGCUCGACACCUACGGGAGGCGGCAGUCGGGAAUAUUGCGCAAUGGAGGAAACUCUGACGCAGUGACGCCGCGUAUAGGAAGAAGGUUUUCGGAUUGUAAACUAUUGUCGUUAGGGAAGAAAAAAGACAGUACCUAAGGAGGAAGCUCCGGCUAACUACGUGCCAGCAGCCGCGGUAAUCUGAGCGGGCUGGCAAGGC